rnacentral:lncRNA from 1 species
AGAUUCCUCUCUUUUCAUAGUUAAUCUAGAGCAAUUUUAUUAUCUAAUAAAACUUUAGAAAGAGAAUUUAAAGAAGUCUGUUGUGCAACCAUAGCCUUUGCAGUUGAACCUGCUGUAGAGCCUAUAAUGAGUGAUACAUUUGUAAGCACUGCCUCAUUUAUAUUUAUUUCAGGCCAUGAGAAAAGAGACCUAAGAAAUGAUGCCCAUCCAGAAGAGUGAAGACUUCCUGAAAAUGUUCUUUUAACCUAAGAUGUAGGUUAAGAGGAGUGAAAAAAUGUUCUGUUUCUGACUGAUGAUGGAGCAACAAAGGAACUCCUAAAGAAGAAAUCAUCCAUUCAGUGAGAGCAAAUGAACACUCCAACAGACUGAAACAAAGCAUCUUUACAGGAGAUGUGAAUGCGAGAAAGCAAAGAGAACUACAGUCAGGGUCUCCGCUGGCAUGGCCCAAGCCCACCGUGGCAUGAUCCAGAGAGACGAGUCAGCAGAGCACUAUGGGCAGCUCCCAUACUCUUCGCAGAUCAACAAGCCAGCAUAUAACCCAGGGAGAUAGAUAAUAGUGAUGCUGUGCUCUGUAGAGGGUAGUGGCAACAGUGGGAUUUCUUCUGGAAUAAAUCUGUAGUGAGCCAGAUGUUUCUGCUGACUAUAUUACUUCUGACAGUGUAUAAUCCAAAAUUGUUUCCUUGGCCUUCCAAAAAGUUUUAUAAGCUCCCUAACGGCUGCAAUAAAUCCCUUUCUUCUUAAACUAGCUAGAGUGGAUUUUUGUUCUCUACAAAACAGAUCCUGCCACUAAGAACCCCACUAGUAUUUGUUGCCAUGAUUAGGGAAUAAGUUAAACCACUGUAAGGGGGGAAAAGCAGCUCCAAGUACAAGGGCUUAAAUGUGUUAGAAGCUUCUUUCUCAUAUCACAAUUCAAGAUGAAUACCUGGGCCAUGCUCCAUAAAGUCAUCUAGAUACCCAGGUUGCUGGGGCAACUCUGCCAUCUUCUACAUUUGGCUUUUCUCUCUAGGUCAAAAGUGUUUUCUCCAGUGAUCAUUAACUUCACUGGUUCCACAUUCCAGGCCACAGAACGGAACAAAAGAAAAUAUGAAGGGCAAACAACUUUAUUUUGAAAAACGUAAAGCAGAAGUCGUUGCUAAAACUUAGGCCCGGCGGGUGGCUGACAUCUGUAAUUCCAGCACUUCGGGAGGUCAAGGCAAGAGGAUCACUUGAGCCCAAGAGUUUAAGACCAGCCUGGGCAACACAGGGAGAUACGUUCUCUACAAGAAUUAAAAUAAAAAAUGAAAUAAAUUAGCCAGGUGUGGUGAUGCAUGCCUGUAGUCCCAGCUACUUGGGAAGUUGAGGUGGGAGGAUCUCUUGAGCACUGAUCAAGGCUGCAAUGAGCUAUGAUCACACCACUGCAUUCCAGCCUGGGUGACAGAGCAUGACCCUGUCUCAAAAAAUAAAAUAAAACCUAGAAGCUAAACCCAAACUCAAAGCCUUCUCAAGAGAAUGUGGAAAAUGUAACCUGUAACUGGAGUAGCCAUUAAUCUAGCCAAAACUUGAUGGGCAUGGGGUGUUCUCUUAGUAAAAGAAGAAAAGAGAAAUGGACAUGGGAAAAAUUCCAAAACUUUAUUCAAGAGGACAUCAUCAGCUUUUGAGACUUCAGUUGUCCCGGGCAAAUGGGCUCUUACUCCCCUCUCUUUUCUUAAAGCAAAAAUACCUGCAGGAAGCCGCAGAGCAGUGGAAAGAUCAGAAAGCGUACUCCUCAGUCCCUCUACCUAAGUAGCAGUGAGAUGGCCAUAGCUAUUUUUACCCUCUUACUAGAAAUAAAACAUUUAGAUUUUGAAACACCAACUCCUCCUCCAAUGUAGAGCAUCCUCUGUGUAGACACUAUGAGAUAUAGAAGUCAGCAAGGCUGGCCUGGCCACUGCCCUCUUGAUGCUUUCAUUCUAGGAUGGAAGAUUAAUUUCUUGGUAGUUGAUUAUUUAACUAAUUAUUAAGAGUGCUCCAAGGAAGUACAAAAUGGAUAUAUGUAUAAAUGGAUAUGUGUCAUAAGUAAAUGGAUAUAAGUGUCAUAAGUAUAUGACAGAAGAAUUUGACCUAGGCUGAAGAGAUCACAAAUGCAUUUUCCUCUUAAAGUGAUAUUUAAGUAUAUACAAAAAUUAUGAACAGAUUUACCAGUGAAAUUUAUUUCUGCAAGUUGGCAAAUUGUUUACAUAACCUUCCUAUUUCACUCUUUAGUUAUGAUUAGGAGUUUUUUUUUUUCACUUAAAAACAUGUAUCAAAAUUGUUUGAGUAGGUAUUCAUUUACCUGGCUUAAACACAAAGUAUGAAAAUGUAGCUGGG